rfam:Schistosoma mattheei strain Denwood, Zambia genome assembly, scaffold: SMTD_scaffold0000542
AUCCGGCUGAUAAGCCCCAAAUCGGACGAAACGCGCGUCCUGGAU